UAUUGAGGUAUAUGUGCUAAGUCACUGAGU
rnacentral:piRNA from 1 species